GCGGCGUGCUUAACACAUGCAAGUCGAACGGAAAGGCCCUGCUUUUGUGGGGUGCUCGAGUGGCGAACGGGUGAGUAACACGUGAGUAACCUGCCCUUGACUUUGGGAUAACUUCAGGAAACUGGGGCUAAUACCGGAUAGGAGCUCCUGCUGCAUGGUGGGGGUUGGAAAGUUUCGGCGGUUGGGGAUGGACUCGCGGCUUAUCAGCUUGUUGGUGGGGUAGUGGCUUACCAAGGCUUUGACGGGUAGCCGGCCUGAGAGGGUGACCGGCCACAUUGGGACUGAGAUACGGCCCAGACUCCUACGGGAGGCAGCAGUGGGGAAUAUUGCACAAUGGGCGGAAGCCUGAUGCAGCAACGCCGCGUGCGGGAUGACGGCCUUCGGGUUGUAAACCGCUUUCGCCUGUGACGAAGCGUGAGUGACGGUAAUGGGUAAAGAAGCACCGGCUAACUACGUGCCAGCAGCCGCGGUGAUACGUAGGGUGCGAGCGUUGUCCGGAUUUAUUGGGCGUAAAGGGCUCGUAGGUGGUUGAUCGCGUCGGAAGUGUAAUCUUGGGGCUUAACCCUGAGCGUGCUUUCGAUACGGGUUGACUUGAGGAAGGUAGGGGAGAAUGGAAUUCCUGGUGGAGCGGUGGAAUGCGCAGAUAUCAGGAGGAACACCAGUGGCGAAGGCGGUUCUCUGGGCCUUUCCUGACGCUGAGGAGCGAAAGCGUGGGGAGCGAACAGGCUUAGAUACCCUGGUAGUCCACGCUGUAAACGGUGGGUACUAGGUGUGGGGUCCAUUCCACGGGUUCCGUGCCGUAGCUAACGCUUUAAGUACCCCGCCUGGGGAGUACGGCCGCAAGGCUAAAACUCAAAGGAAUUGACGGGGCCCCGCACAAGCGGCGGAGCAUGCGGAUUAAUUCGAUGCAACGCGUAGAACCUUACCUGGGUUUGACAUGGAUCGGGAGUGCUCAGAGAUGGGUGUGCCUCUUUUGGGGUCGGUUCACAGGUGGUGCAUGGCUGUCGUCAGCUCGUGUCGUGAGAUGUUGGGUUAAGUCCCGCAACGAGCGCAACCCUUGUUCACUGUUGCCAGCACGUUAUGGUGGGGACUCAGUGGAGACCACCGGGGUCAACUCGGAGGAAGGUGGGGAUGACGUCAAGUCAUCAUGCCCCUUAUGUCCAGGGCUUCACGCAUGCUACAAUGGCUGGUACAGAGAGUGGCGAGCCUGUGAGGGUGAGCGAAUCUCGGAAAGCCGGUCUCAGUUCGGAUUGGGGUCUGCAACUCGACCUCAUGAAGUCGGAGUCGCUAGUAAUCGCAGAUCAGCAACGCUGCGGUGAAUACGUUCCCGGGGCUUGUACACACCGCCCGUCAAGUCAUGAAAGCUGGUAACACCCGAAGCCGGUGGCCUAACCGUUGUGGGGGAGCCGUCGAAGGUGGGACUGGUGAUUAGGACUAAAU
rnacentral:rRNA from 1 species